rnacentral:rRNA from 1 species
CCUACGGGUGGCAGCAGUCGAGAAUCAUUCACAAUGGAGGAAACCCUGAUGGUGCGACGCCGCGUGGGGGAAUGAAGGUCUUCGGAUUGUAAACCCCUGUCAUGUGGGAGCAAAAUAAAAAGAUAGUACCCCAAGAUGAAGAGACGGCUAACUCUGGGCCAGCAGCCGCGGUAAUACGGAGGUGUCAAGCGUUGUUCGGAAUGAGUGGGCGUAAAGCGUGCGUAGGCUGUUUUGUAAGUCGUGUGUGAAAGGCGCGGGCUCAACCCGCGGACGGCACAUGAUACUGCGAGACUAGAGUAAUGGAGGGGGAACCGGAAUUCUCGGUGUAGCAGUGAAAUGCGUAGAUAUCGAGAGGAACACUCGUGGCGAAGGCGGGUUCCUGGACAGUAACUGACGCUGAGGCACGAAGGCCAGGGGAGCGAAAGGGAUUAGAUACCCCGGUAGUC